UGUCCGUUCGAAUGUUUUUCAGGCUAUAUAAAGUGACUAAAUUCGAUCCAAAUGUCAUACUUGAUCCAGGAAGAAUCACAGGAAGAAGUCACGCCGGGGAAAAGUUUGAAGAAUCUUGCUGAGGAUGAACUUCGGCGGCGAAAGAUGAGGAAGGCGAAACACAAACGCUUGCUCGCAGCGAAUAAUAGAAAGAAUCGUCGGAGUCGAGAGAUGUUGGACCUGCCUUGGGACAUAAUGCACGCAAAUACAAAACUCGAUUUCGACGAUGUGCAUGACAGCAUGAGUAAUAUAUGCAUGAUAUUUCGCAUUUUGGCUGAGAUAUGCUGAACACUCUUCUGUUUACCUCCUUGAUUUUCAACUUUUCGGAUUGCGAUUUUUGCAUGCUAUUCUGGUCGUGUCAAGCGCAUGCGGAGUUAAUACAAGUGAUUCUGGGGCCCCAAUCACUUGUAUUUUCUCCAUCUUGAACGACAAUAGUCCGGAACAAAAAUAUCGCUCACAGAGCGCCUAAAACAUAAAAAUGCAUGAGAAUUUGUAUUUCUAGAAGGAGAUAAUAGUCGAGUGUUUUGGUUUUCUCAGAAGCAUGAAGAAAACGAUAAUUAUUUCGUACAAAACGUGCAUGACAAUUUUGUAUUCGCGUGCGCAAUGCGAAGGCCUUGGACGAGUGGCGUUGGAGAUGUCGAAGGAUCGUCGCAGGAUCAGAUGAUGAAGGAUCGUCUCAGGA